GACGAACGCUGGCGGCGUGCCUAAUACAUGCAAGUUGAGCGCUUAAGGUUGGUACUUGUACCAACUGGAUGAGCAGCGCACGGGUGAGUAACGCGUGGGGAAUCUGCCUUUGAGCGGGGGACAACAUUUGGAAACGAAUGCUAAUACCUCAUAAAAACUUUAAACACAAGUUUUAAGUUUGAAAGAUGCAAUUGCAUCACUCAAAGAUGAUCCCGCGUUGUAUUAGCUAGUUGGUGAGGUAAAGGCUCACCAAGGCGAUGAUACAUAGCCGACCUGAGAGGGUGAUCGGCCACAUUGAGACUGAGACACGGCCCAAACGGCUACGGGAGGCAGCAGUAGGGAAUAGUCGGCAAAGGACGAAAGUCUGACCGAGCAACGCAGCGAGAGGGAAGAAGGGUUUCGGAUCGUAAAAAUCGGUUGGUAGAGAAGAACGUUGGUGGGAGUGGAAAGCUCAUCAAGUGACGGUAACUACACAGAAAGGGACGGCUAACUACGUG
rnacentral:rRNA from 1 species